GGUUGUGGCUCAGUGGUAGAGUGCUCGCCUAUUAUGCGUGAGGCCCUGGGUUCGAUCCUCAGCACCA
rfam:Ictidomys tridecemlineatus contig038838, whole genome shotgun sequence.